UCCCCCUCUCUCUCCCCAGAGGAGCAGCAAGGUCUCUCUCCUCCUCGAUCUGCCGCAGGGGGUCCCCUCGAUGGCGACGCCUCGCUCCCCGAGCACCCGCGGCGACGCGCUCCUUGACUCGGCGCCCCUGCUCGGCGUGGGGCUGGCGGCGGCGGCGGCGGACGGCGCCGAGGGGGCGCGCUCCGCCGGCCGUCGCUCCGCGGCGCGGCGCGGCUGCUGCGGCGCGGGGGGCGGCGGGCGAUGCGGGAGCCGUCGGUGCUGGUGCGGGAGGCGGCCGCGGAGCACCUCGAGGAGCGGCAGGCGGACUGGGCCUACUCCCGCCCCGUCGUGGCGCUCGACCUGCUCUGGAACCUCGCUUUCAUCACCGUCGCCGCCGUCGUGCUCGUGCUCAGCCGUGGCGAGGACUCGCCCAUGCCGCUCCGGACCUGGGUCGCCGGCUACGCCCUGCAGUGCGUCGUCCACAUGGUCUGCGUCGCCAUCGAGUACCGGAUGCGCCGGGGGCAGCGUGACAGGGCCCCGGCGUCCGCCGACGAGGAAAGGGGAAGUGACGGGUCGUCUUCAUCUAGCGAUGAUGAUGUCACGGAGGACGAUCGCCGUGGUAGCUGCACCGAUUGCGUCAGUAUUGCAAAGCACCUGGAGUCAGCUAAUACAAUGUUCUCCUUCAUAUGGUGGAUAAUUGGAUUUUAUUGGAUAUCUGCUGGGGGUGAGGAUGUUAUCCGUGAUGCACCUCAGCUUUACUGGCUUUGCAUAGUCUUUCUGGCAUUUGACGUGUUCUUUGUUGUAUUCUGUGUUGCUCUGGCUUGCAUCAUUGGUAUUGCUGUAUGUUGCUGCCUACCUUGCAUUAUAGCUAUUCUCUAUGCGGUUUCUGAUCAGGAAGGAGCGUCAGAAGAUGAUAUUCGCCAAAUUCCAAGAUACAAAUUUCGGAGAACAGAUGAACCUGAAAAACAAACUGCUGAUGAGACAGGACCUUUUGGUGGAAUAAUGACAGAGUGUGGCACCAAUCAACCUAUUGAGAAAGUACUCGCACCUGAAGAUGCGGAGUGUUGCAUUUGCCUUUCGGCAUAUGAUGAUGGUGCAGAGCUGCGUGAACUUCCUUGUGGGCACCAUUUCCACUGUGCCUGCAUUGAUAAAUGGCUGCAUAUCAACGCAACAUGCCCCCUGUGCAAGUUCAAUAUCCGGAAAAGUGGCAGUAGCAGUGGAAGUGAAGAAGUAUGAUUGUGUGAAUAUCCUCCGGUCGAGAACACCGAUCCAUUUCAACUUCACACCUGUCUCUGCUAAUGCAACCACAGGACCUGACCAGUGUAAAUUUUGUAUCCAAAAUGUGUGAUUAGCGUCAUAUAUGUACUUGAAGUGACUCAAGACUGCUGUUCAUAUCCACAUACAUGGUUGUCCAAUGUGUCUUUUACUGUCCGGAAUACAUGCUUAGUUGCCCCGUGAGUUGUAAUUCUUCGAGUGAUCCUCACAUUUCCUGCUUGUGUUAGCAUGGUUUGUGCUUAUGCUCCUGCCUUGGUCAUUGGUUCAGCACAAAAACUGUUGUAAAUGGGCUAUCGGUCCUGUUGAAUUGUCAGGUACAAACGAAAUGCGUCCUGCUUAUGAUUCAUCUCUUGUACUCUCGAAGUCCUACAGCCAGUUCUUCCGAACUGAAGCAUUUUACCGAGCUGGGAGUCAUAAAAGAUGUUUUUGAUCGGUCUGUUGUUGAACUGAUAAGGUAAUAAAAUAUUUGAAAUC